AGAGUUUGAUCAUGGCUCAGGACGAACGCUGGCGGCGUGCCUAACACAUGUAAGUCGAACGGGAUUCGAGGGGCAACUCUCGAGUUCAGUGGCAGACGGGUGCGUAACACGUGAGAAACUUGUCCAUCGGUGGGGGAUAGCCGGCCCAACGGCCGGUUAAUACCGCGUACGAUCAUUUAGGGGCAUCCCUGGAUGAUGAAAGCCUUCGGGCGCCGGCGGAGAGUCUCGCGGCCUAUCAGCUAGUUGGCGGGGUAACGGCCCACCAAGGCGACGACGGGUAGCUGGUCUGAGAGGACGAUCAGCCACAUUGGGACUGAGACACGGCCCAGACUCCUACGGGAGGCAGCAGUGGGGAAUCUUGCGCAAUGGCCGCAAGGCUGACGCAGCGACGCCGCGUGUGGGAUGACGGCCUUCGGGUUGUAAACCACUGUCGGGAGGAACGAAUACACGCUUCGGGCGUGGGUGACGGUACCUCCAAAGGAAGCACCGGCUAACUCCGUGCCAGCAGCCGCGGUAAUACGGAGGGUGCGAGCGUUGUCCGGAAUCACUGGGCGUAAAGGGCGCGUAGGUGGCCCGUUAAGUGGCUGGUGAAAUCCCGCGGCUCAACUGCGGGGCUGCCGGUCAUACUGGCGAGCUAGAGCACGGUAGGGGCAGAUGGAAUUCCCGGUAGCGGUGGAAUGCGUAGAGAUCGGGAAGAAUACCAGUGGCGAAGGCGUUCUGCUGGGCCGUUGCUGACACUGAGGCGCGACAGCGUGGGGAGCAAACAGGAUUAGAUACCCUAGUAGUCC
rnacentral:rRNA from 1 species